rnacentral:rRNA from 1 species
AUUGAACGCUGGCGGCAUGCCUUACACAUGCAAGUCGAACGGCAGCACGGGUGCUUGCACCUGGUGGCGAGUGGCGAACGGGUGAGUAAUACAUCGGAACAUGUCCUGUAGUGGGGGAUAGCCCGGCGAAAGCCGGAUUAAUACCGCAUACGAUCUACGGAUGAAAGCGGGGGACCUUCGGGCCUCGCGCUAUAGGGUUGGCCGAUGGCUGAUUAGCUAGUUGGUGGGGUAAAGGCCUACCAAGGCGACGAUCAGUAGCUGGUCUGAGAGGACGACAAGCCACACUGGGACUGAGACACGGCCCAGACUCCUACGGGAGGCAGCAGUGGGGAAUUUUGGACAAUGGGCGAAAGCCUGAUCCAGCAAUGCCGCGUGUGUGAAGAAGGCCUUCGGGUUGUAAAGCACUUUUGUCCGGAAAGAAAUCCUUGGCCCUAAUACGGUCGGGGGAUGACGGUACCGGAAGAAUAAGCACCUGCUAACUACGUG